GACGAACGCUGGCGGCGUGCUUAACACAUGCAAGUCGAACGGUAAGGCCCUUCGGGGUACACGAGUGGCGAACGGGGGAGUAACAAGUGGGUGAUCUGCCCUGCACUUCGGGAUAAGCCUGGGAAACCGGGUCUAAUACCGGAUAGGACCCCGGUCUGCAUGGUAUGGGGGGGAAAGCUUUUGCGGUGUGGGAUGGGCCCGCGGCCUAUCAGCUUGUUGGUGGUGUCAUGGCCUACCAAGGCGACGACGGGUAGCCGGCCUGAGGUGGGGGCCGUCCACACUGGGACUGAGAUACGGCCCAGACUCCUACGGGAGGCAGCAGUGGGGAAUAUGCACAAUGGGCGCAAGCCUGAUGCAGCGACGCCGCGUGAGGGAUGACGGCCUUCGGGUUGUAAACCUCUUUCAGCAUCGACGAAGCGAAAGUGACGGUAGGUGCGGAAGAAGGACCGGCCAACUACGUGCCAGCCGCCGCCGUAG
rnacentral:rRNA from 1 species